UUUGAUCCUGGCUCAGAACGAACGCUGGCGGCGUGGAUAAGACAUGCAAGUCGAACGAGAACUUUCGCUGUAGCAAUACAGUGGAAGUUCUAGUGGCGAACGGGUGCGUAACACGUGGGCAAUCUGCCUUAAAGUGGGGGAUAGCUCGGCGAAAGCCGGAUUAAUACCGCAUGUGAUUACCGGAGACAUCUUCGGAACAUUAAAGUCGGGGCAACCUGACGCUUUUUGAGGAGCCCGCGGCCUAUCAGCUAGUUGGUGAGGUAAUGGCUCACCAAGGCUUUGACGGGUAGCUGGUCUGAGAGGACGACCAGUCACACUGGAACUGAGACACGGUCCAGACACCUACGGGUGGCAGCAGUCGAGAAUUUUUCUCAAUGGGGGAAACCCUGAAGGAGCG
rnacentral:rRNA from 1 species